CACACAGGUGAAUUGAGAUGCCGGGCAUAUUUAAACAAGCACUGAAGACUCAAGCACCAGCACUGGAAGAAGGCUAUCGAUCCGAAACGCGUUUGCUAUUUUUUGCUUGUUAUUUUAUUGUAUUUUUAUAUUACUCUCUCGGUUACUUUGUUUAGGGUAAGUGGAAAUCCCUUUUUUCUAUGUUUUGCUAUAGGGUUCCACUCC